GUGUCAGCCGCCGCGGUAAUACGUAGGGUGCAAGCGUUAUUCGGAAUUACUGGGCGUAAAGCGUGCGCAGGCGGUUCGGUAAGAAAGAUGUGAAAUCCCAGGGCUUAACCUUGGAACUGCAUUUUUAACUAUCGGGCUAGAGUGUGUCAGAGGGAGGUGGAAUUCCGCGUGUAGCAGUGAAAUGCGGAGAUAUGCGGAGGAACACCGAUGGCGAAGGCAGUCUCCUG
rnacentral:rRNA from 1 species